GUCGACGCUUCUUUUCUACCGAGUGCUUGCACUCAUUUGAAAAGAGGAGUGGCGGUACGGGUGAGUAACACGUGGGUAACCUGCCCAUCAGAAGGGGAUAACACUUGGAAACAGGUGCUAAUACCGUAUAACAGUCGACACCGCAUGGUGUUGAUUUGAAAGACGCUUUCGGGUGUCACUGGAUGGAUGGACCCGCGGUGCAUUAGCUAGUAUGGUGAGGUAACGGCUCACCAAGGCGAUGAUGCAUAGCCGACCUGAGAGGGUGAUCGGCCACACUGGGACUGAGACACGGCCCAGACUCCUACGGGAGGCAGCAGUAGGGAAUCUUCGGCAAUGGACGAAAGUCUGACCGAGCAACGCCGCGUGAGUGAAGAAGGUUUUCGGAUCGUAAAACUCUGUUGUUAGAGAAGAACAAGUAGGAGAGUAACUGCUCUUACCUUGACGGUAUCUAACCAGAAAGCCACGGCUAACUACGUGCCAGCAGCCGCGGUAAUACGUAGGUGGCAAGCGUUGUCCGGAUUUAUUGGGCGUAAAGCGAGCGCAGGCGGUUUCUUAAGUCUGAUGUGAAAGCCCCCGGCUCAACCGGGGAGGGUCAUUGGAAACUGGGAGACUUGAGUGCAGAAGAGGAGAGUGGAAUUCCAUGUGUAGCGGUGAAAUGCGUAGAUAUAUGGAGGAACACCAGUGGCGAAGGCGACUCUCUGGUCUGUAACUGACGCUGAGGCUCG
rnacentral:rRNA from 1 species